rnacentral:tRNA from 1 species
GGUGGUGUGGCUUAGUGGCAGAGUGCUUGCCUAGCAUGCACGAAGCCCUGGGUUCAAUUCCUCAGUACCU